CGAGAGUCUCGUCUCAGCNCUAAGAGAAGACUCAGAGGACCGUCACACUCCAGAGAGGAACAGCAAAGGCUUCUGGAGCAGGCAUAAUAGAGUAUCCAUCAGUACAGAGCUACACCUUCACAACGGGCUGCAGUCCUCCUGCUGAAGACACGGGGAAGACAUACGACGAGAUGCAGACUGAUGGAUGGGUAGCUGACGGUGUAAAAGCAGUACAUGGACACGGCUGCGCAGGAGCGGGGCGCCGCUGAGAUGAUGAUCUGGACUGUGACGUUCACGUAUGGAGAAGUGGAGCAGAGACUAGACCAACUGACAGGAACACCUGAGGAUCUGGACUGUGACGUCACGUAUGAGAAGUGGAGCAGAGACUAGACCAACUGCAGGAACACCUGAGCAGGUUAGAGUGUCAGAUGACAUCAGACAUUCAGAGUAUCCUUCAGCUGCUGCAGAGACAGACGUGUUUGGGACCUCCAGCCUACAGCAGCCUCACAGCCGGUCCCAAAGACAAGAGACCCGGCAUCAGAGUGCAGCCCAUGGCUUCUGUUCCCAGCAACCCACAGCACUGCACAGCACAGGACGAUGACUUUUUGGCUAUGACAAAGAUCCAUCCGAACCCCAGAGACUCUC
rnacentral:lncRNA from 1 species